GAGGGUAGAGCUCAGUGGUAGAGCACAUGCUUAGCAUGCAUGAGGUCCUGGGUUCAAUCCCUAGCACCUCUG
rfam:Camelus ferus unplaced genomic scaffold scaffold2533, whole genome shotgun sequence.